UUUUGUUUUCGUCUGGAAUAAUAUGCAUCAAUAAUCUGAAGGAUAGAAAAUAAAAAUGCUGAACAUAAUGGUUCCAAAAAUUGACCAAACAUAAACAUUUACUUUCGAUGAUUUUCUUAUUUUCUUUGUUAUUUCUGAUUGUAAACCAUUCUAUCUAAUAUCAAUGUAUCGAUUUGGAAUUAAUUUUCUUUCGCUGUUGUAGUUUCAAGACUGAAUUCUCUUUAUAAUUCAUAGUUCUGCUCUUGUUCAACACUUAUAUAAUGAUUCGAAAACAAACAACACACAAUUAUGAUGUUUCAACAAAUGAAUGAAUAAUGAUGGUUGACACUGUUAUUUGUUUUGUCAACAUUUA
rnacentral:lncRNA from 1 species